rnacentral:lncRNA from 1 species
AUCCUCUAUCACUGCUCCUUGGCUUGAUACACCUUUGUUGUUGUUGUUGUUGUUGUUGUCCUCUAUGGCUGUUUUCCUGACUCUAACUUCCCCAACACACUGGAUAUUACACUCCAGUCAAAACCACGGUACUGGAGCCACCUGAUCAUUCUCGACUUGCAUUUCUGUAUGGGCACAUCCUGGCUUCUCGCCCAUUGUUUUGAUGCUUGAGCCAAUAAGUGAUUCAAGGAGGGACUUGAUAACUCAACCCUAGACUCCUGAGUUCCGGGUUCAGUUUCUUGGAAAACAUUUCUUAUUGCACUC